AGUGAACGCUGGCGGUAGGCCUAACACAUGCAAGUCGAACGGCAGCACAGUAAGAGCUUGCUCUUACGGGUGGCGAGUGGCGGACGGGUGAGGAAUACAUCGGAAUCUAUUUUUUCGUGGGGGAUAACGUAGGGAAACUUACGCUAAUACCGCAUAAGACCUACGGGUGAAAGCAGGGGAUCUUCGGACCUUGCGCGAUUGAAUGAGCCGAUGUCGGAUUAGCUAGUUGGCGGGGUAAAGGCCCACCAAGGCGACGAUCCGUAGCUGGUCUGAGAGGAUGAUCAGCCACACUGGAACUGAGACACGGUCCAGACUCCUACGGGAGGCAGCAGUAGGGAAUAUUGGACAAUGGGCGAAAGCCUGAUCCAGCAAUACCGCGUGGGUGAAGAAGGUCUUCGGGUUGUAAAGCCCUGUUGUUGGAAAAGAAAAGCAGCAUGUGUAUACACGGCUGUUCUGACGGUACCCAAACAAUAAGCACCGGCUAACUUCGUG
rnacentral:rRNA from 1 species